AUUUUAUUUUUUGAAAGGAGCUCGCUUCACUUUAUUACUUUUCCCUCGAUUAAUUUGGAACCCUCGAGAACUCAGUACUCCUCCUCCUUCGCUUUCGUCGUGUUACUGCACUCAAACUCCUCCCUCAAGAAAAUAACUACACUCAAACUCCUCCCUAAAGAAAAUAACCUGUCGUGCUACUGCGGUCGCCGUCCGCCGAACCUUCUCGUCCUCCUCCUUCGCUUCUCCGCCGAACCUUCUCAUCCUCCUCCGUCACACAAUCUUAGCUUGGUCGCACUCGCUUCUGAGCGCUUCCGUCUGACUGUUUGACUCAGCAAAAGCUUUGGCUUUCAGUAAUAUUCCAACAUGCAUGGAGAGGUGAGGUUAGGGUUGCAUAGCUUCGAUAAUUCACCAAGAACUUUUGGUUUUUCAUUUUUCGCUUACGUUUAUGUGAUUUCACAUGCCUGCUAUAACAGGUCAAGGAAACUAUUUUCACAACUCUUAUUAGGAAUGGCAUGUUUGAUAAUUCCCAUAUCCGCUUAAGUUUAACUCGCGGCAAUUUCUUUUUAUCUUUCUUUUUCUGCAAGCUGUUCAUAUGUUUUAAGUUAAGAUAUUUUCUACACAGUAUUGUUGUUCCUUAUAUAUUAGGAUAGUAGCUACUAAUAUAUAAUGCUUUCGAGGAUUUUAUUUUUUGCAACUAUUAAUGUAAUUUUUGCUUUAAACCUAGCAUCCAUUUGUGGUGUCAUUUCGACUGCACGUGAGAGUUGAGACAUGUUGGCGUCAAGUUUGAGAAUAGUUUCUUUAUACUAUACUGCUUCACAUGUCUAACGUGUCUGAAGAAUAACUGUUUUCCGGAUUUCUGCAAGUCACUUCUGGAAUGAGUCCUGCAUUCAAUCUUUAUGGCUGCACCUUAAUAGUGCUUGCUGAAUGGAAACCACCUGUCUAUGAUAACACCAAGGGUGUAGUUUUGGUUACUGCUUCAACCCGCCGUAAUUCUCCAAAUGAAUAUAUGGUCAUUUCAUCCAGCUCCUGGAGCCUGGAAGUAAUGAAAAUUUUAAAUGGGUGAUGGGAGCUCCGCUGAUUAGCUUUUGCCACAGCACACUUUGACUUUUGAAUACCCUUCUGGCAUCAUAAGGGUAUUCCAUCUAUUAGUUCAAUAAUUUAUUUUUUGAAGUUGACCAUCUAUCUACAGUCAUGGUCUUACUAUGCAAGAUAUCAUUAAUUGAUUGACAUGGUUAAUGUGUGUGAAACUUCAUACUGAAAUUCUCAGACGUUAUUAUAUGUACAUUGUCAUGACUCAUGAAUCUUUAUAUGGUGACUCUGAUAAGAUACUUGAGAUUUUACUUCA